GGUCAGGUAGCUCAGUUGGUAGAGCACCUGGUAUAUAUCCAGAAGGCCUGGGUUCAAACCACCACCGUUGCCA